ensembl:lncRNA
AUUGCUCCCUUUUAUCAACCAGUCACUGGAUGCUGGCAGCUCCUGAAGAGGAAGCACAAACUUUCAGGAGGGAGUUCUCUCCUGCCCAGCGCCAUGCUCAGAGAGGGACUCAGCUGUAAAUCAUCUGCAGCUCUCAGAAGUUGAGGGAGUGAAUCUUGGUUCUGAAAGGAAGCAGGACGGUGCCCUUAUUAUACAGCAGUCCCCAACUGUUUGAUCCCUGGGACCGAUUUCGUGAAAGAUAAUUUUUCCACGGACCAGGGUUAGGGAGGAUGGUUUCAGCACGAUUCAAGCACAUUGAGUUUCUCGCGCACUUUAUUUCUAAUUAAAGCUGCUGCUGAUGUGACAGGAAGUACGGGUCCGUAGCCCGGAGGUUGGGGACAUUUGCCCUACAUCUCCUAGUUAUGUGCAAGCUGCUGCUGCGUUGUGCUCAGUCGUGUCCCAUUCUUUGUGGCCCCACUGACUGUAGCCCUCCUGGCUUCUCUGUCCAUGGGAUUUUCCCAGCAAGAAUAAUGCAGUACACAUAUAGAAAUGUAUCAGCCUUCUAGGUGGCACAGUGGUAAAGAACCCGCUCACCAGUGCAGGAGACAGAAGAGAUGGGGUUCAGUCCCUGGGUCGGGAAGAUCCCCUGGAGAAGGAAAUGGCAACCCGCUCCAGUAUUCUCACCUGGAAAAUUCCAUGGACGGAGGAGGCUGGUGGGCUAUAGUCCUUGGGGUUGAAAAAGAGUUGGACAGACUUAGCAACAAAACAAAAUAAAAACAAUAGAAAUGUAUGAAAGCUAAAUAUAAUGUGGACAAAGACUGUUGCCUGCUAUCAAGCUGUCAGUCACUGCAGCAGCCAGGACAGUGCACCCUAAGGGGAAUUCAGGAUUAAGAAAAACAGGAUAAUGACCCUAGAGAGUUGAUACAUAUCAAAGAAAAAAUUUCAAUGAACCCAGACUCUUGCAUUUUACUACACAUUGAAAAGCACUAAAAUCAUAAACUUGAGAUGUCUGUUUGUUGUGAUUAGCAGUAACCACUUGAUUUUUUUUUUUUUUAUAG